rnacentral:rRNA from 1 species
AGCGAACGCUGGCGGCGUGCCUAACACAUGCAAGUCGAACGUGAAAAGGGAAACCUGAGUAAAGUGGCGUACGGGUGAGUAACGCGUAGGUAAUCUACCCCAGAAUCUGGAAUAACCUGCCGAAAGGCGGGCUAAUACUGGAUAGAGCGAGGGAACUCGUAAGAGAGUUUUUCGGGAAAGGGAGCCCGCAAGGGCCUUCGUUCUGGGAUGAGCCUGCGUCUCAUUAGCUAGUUGGUAAGGUAACGGCUUACCAAGGCGAUGAUGAGUAGCUGGUCUGAGAGGAUGAUCAGCCACACUGGAACUGAAACACGGUCCAGACUCCUACGGGAGGCAGCAGUGGGGAAUCGUGCGCAAUGGACGAAAGUCUGACGCAGCCACGCCGCGUGAGUGAAGAAGGCCUUCGGGUUGUAAAGCUCUGUCGGAUGGGACGAACAUCUUCAUAGUGAAUAGCUAUGAGGACUGACGGUACCAUCAAAGGAAGCACCGGCUAACUCCGUG